CACCAGACUCCUACGGGAGGCAGCAGUGGGGAAUAUUGCGCAAUGGGCGAAAGCCUGACGCAGCGACGCCGCGUGAGGGAUGAAGGUCUUCGGAUCGUAAACCUCUGUCAGCAGGGAAGAACGGUCACUGUGCUAAUCAGCAGUGAAUUGACGGUACCUGCAAAGGAAGCACCGGCUAACUCCGUGCCAGCAGCCGCGGUAAUACGGAGGGUGCAAGCGUUACUCGGAAUCACUGGGCGUAAAGAGCGCGUAGGCGGGAUAGCAAGUCAGGGGUGAAAGCCCGGGGCCCAACCCCGGGACUGCCCUUGGAACUGCUUGGCUGGAGUGCGGGAGGGGCAGGCGGAAUUCCUGGUGUAGCGGUGAAAUGCGUAGAUAUCAGGAGGAACACCGGCGGCGAAGGCGGCCUGCUGGACCGUGACUGACGUUGAGGCUCGAGAGCGUGGGGAGCAAACAGGAUUAGAUACCCGCGUAUCA
rnacentral:rRNA from 1 species